rnacentral:rRNA from 1 species
GAUGAACGCUGGCGGCAUGCCUAAGACAUGCAAGUCGUACGAAGUAGCCCAAAGAAGUGGAGUGCUUGCCCGAAGCGGACUUGGAUUACUACUUAGUGGCGGAAGGGUGAGUAACACGUGGGUAAUCUGCCUCGGAGACUGGGAUAACUACUAGAAAUGGUAGCUAAUACCGGAUGAGAGAUAGAAAGAUACGUUUUUUCUAUAGUAAAAGGAGCCUUUAAAGCUUCACUUUGAGAUGAGCCUGCGGCGUAUUAGCUAGUUGGUGGGGUAAAGGCCUACCAAGGCGACGAUGCGUAGCCGACCUGAGAGGGUGAUCGGCCACACUGGGACUGAGACACGGCCCAGACUCCUACGGGAGACAGCAGUUAGGAAUAUUCGUCAAUGGGGGGAACCCUGAACGAGCAAUGCCGCGUGAACGAAGAAGGUCCUCUGGAUUGUAAAGUUCUGUUGUUAGGGACGAACGACCAGUAUAGGAAAUGAUACUGGAGUGACGGUACCUUUCAAGAAAGCUCCGGCUAACUACGUGCCAGCAGCCGCGGUAAUACGUAGGGAGCGAGCGUUAUCCGGAUUUAUUGGGUGUAAAGGGUGCGUAGGCGGAUUAAUAAGUUGGUGGUCUAAGCCCGAAGCUUAACUUCGGUUCGCCACCAAAACUGUUAACCUUGAGUAUGGUAGAGGCAAGUGGAAUUUCUAGUGUAGCGGUUAAAUGCGUAGAUAUUAGAAGGAACAUCAGUGGCGAAGGCGACUUGCUGGGCCAACACUGACGCUGAGGCACGAAAGCGUGGGGAGCAAAUAGGAUUAGAUACCCUAGUAGUCCACGCCGUAAACGAUGGAUACUAAGUGUCGGGCAACCGGUGCUGAAGUAAACACAUUAAGUAUCCCACCUGAGUAGUACGGUCGCAAGGCUGAAACUCAAAGGAAUUGACGGGCACCCGCACAAGCGGUGGAGCAUGCUGUUUAAUUCGAUGCUACGCGAAGAACCUUACCUGGGCUUGACAUCCCUUUGACCGGACCUAGAAAUAGGACCUUUCUUCUUCGGAAGACAAAGGAGACAGGUGGUGCAUGGUUGUCGUCAGCUCGUGUCGUGAGAUGUUCGGUUAAGUCCGAUAACGAGCGCAACCCUUGUCCUUAAUUGCUAACAGUAAGAUGAGAACCUUAAGGAGACUGCCGGUGAUAAACCGGAGGAAGAUGGGGAUGACGUCAAAUCAUCAUGCCCCUUACGUCCAGGGCUACAGGCGUGCUAUAAUGGCCGGUAUAAAAAGAAGCAAAACUGUGAAGUAGAGCAAAAUCUCGAAAGCCGGUCUCAGUACGGAUUGGAGUCUGCAAACUCGACUCCAUGAAGCCAGAAUCGCUAGUAAUCCCGAAAUCAGAAAUGUCGGGGUAAAUACGUUCCCGGGUGU